CAGUGAGCCCGUCCCAGACUCCCACUCCCCCAGAGCCACAGUGAUCAAAGGAAGGGAGGAAAACACGCUGGAACCCCUUGGACCUGCUGCUGAAUGGGGAUUUUGGUCGGAUGUUGAGUUUACCUGGAAUGCCCCGGUGCUAUUUUGGGAAGACAGACAUCCUAUGGAAACAAUGAAGUGGAAAAGAAAACAACUAAAGCAAAAUCCAGAGCCCAGUUUCUGCUAACCCAGCUCCACACAGCCUGGGCAGACCGUGGAAGCCCGUCAGGCGUGCAAAGGGCUGAGACUGAGUGUGUCCGGUUUACCAGCAGAGAAUGCGAGAUGUAGAAAAAGGGUCCCUUUGACAUUUCCAACAAGUCAGUGACGAAAUGGAAAGAUCCUGGGAACAGUCUGCAGCAUCCCAGACUCCUCUCCUCCAGAUGAAAAAAAAUGAGCCAUCUUCCUAAAACAGCCUGCGGAGCUAGCUAGAGAACAUGCAGAACCUGUAAGCCCAGGAGCUCAGCUGUCCCAUCCUGGAAACAGACAUCUGUCUGCGCCUUCGUCUACAGAGCCCUGGCCCUCGCCUCUCGCUGUGAGCACCGCUCUCUCGUCUGCGUUCCAGUCGAGAGAUAAACAGAAUGGACUCGGAGGUGGACAUUGUUCUCCAACAGGCCUGACUGCAGCCCAGCUGGGCUAUGAGGAAGGAACUGUGCUCUGUGAUCAUGCCGGACAGAAGGAGAACAGAGUCAAAUGGGCUAACAUGUGUCUGUGCUCCUCUUGAGAGGCAAACCACAGGCCCAAAUCACAGCACUAACAAGUGGCAAAGCAAAGGAAGGAAUGCAGGUGCAGCUGGUUCCAGCGCUCAGGGCUCCUUCCUUCCCUGGAUGCGGAGAAUAUUCUAGCCUUCCUCGCCAAAACAGGCAGAGCAGAGCCAAGAGAUUUUGCAAAGACUGAAUCAUGAAGAAGGAACCAGGCCUCCCCUGGAUGAGCCUUGGAAAGCCCAACCACAGGGUCACAAAAAACAGUGAGGAAACAGAGGCACAGAGAGGUUAAGCAGUCUGCCUGAGGUCACCAAGUGAGAGAACUGAGAACUGUGAACCCACAGCUUUUGGAGUCUUAUACCUCUAGGUGGGAGAAUUUUCAGUCUGGGACAUGACUGAGGGAGUGGAAAUAAAGCGGAGGUUAGCAGUGUCCUUACUCCCACGAGGACAGGCCAGGAGCUCUGGCCCUGCCACAUUCAGGCCCCUGGGACCCACAGCACUGCAGCAGAACCAGAGAAGCUCCAGACCCUUGUCCCCAGGUUUUGAUGCCACCCCCAGGCCUUUGCCUGGGAUGGAAAGUCACCUGCUCCGUCACAGGGGAUACCCGGAAUAUCUGGGUUGGAUCACAGGCCAGCAGAAUUUGCGGAGGUUCAUCUCAUCCCAUAACAACCAAAAGGACUUGAGAGCUUGAUAUUUAAUGGAAAAGCCAUCACCAUUCUCAUGGAACUCAGCUGAAAGGAUGUAUGCUCAUGGGUGCCAG
rnacentral:lncRNA from 1 species